GCUGCUGAGACACUGGCUGCUCUCCUCUCCCCUCUCCCUCUAUCUCUCCCCUCCUCCCAAUCCUCCUCUUAUGGCUUGGUGAAACCCACAGGCCUUGCUAACCCCUAUUUCUACUUUCCAUAGCUCUUUCCUACUCCAUGCAACAAGCAAGCCUCCCACGGAUGGACUGAUGCAAACAUACUGCAGGUGGGAUGUGUGGGAACUUCUCUGCUUGACCCAUCUUGUCCUCAACAACACACUUCCUCUUUUCUGUUCUGGACCUCACCGUGUUUCAGGCCUGCUGACCUGUGGGCAUCACAAAGCCAGCUUAAAAAAUACUGUCCUAAGCCAUCGCAGUUCCAGGUUGUCAGAAGAGAGUCCGAAAAUGGGGUCUGGGCCCAUUUUUGAGGAAUGUUCUUGAGAUGUUUGAGGAGUGCAUCGUGGAUGAGGAGGAGGGAAGCAAGCAGGGGGUGACUCCAAGCGGGCCCAGCCUCAGCCGCCUCCGUGGGCAAGAGCCCAUGAUGGAAGUGGCACAGCGGAACUGCUCCCCCUGGGCUCGCAGGCUGCACCGUGUGCCUUUGCAUUCAGUCACUGAUGUGUCUAGGACGGAGAGGGGGUGUCAAGACUCCUCCCAGGGGACUUCAACUGCUAUGAAACUGAAGCAGUUCCCUUCUAGAUCCUUCAGGAAAAAGCUGAACAAACAAAUGGGCCUCGCUUGGAAUGUCAACUGCCAAGAGCCCUGCUCCUGUCAACAGAGAUUGCAGAUUUUACUGGUAAGUCCCCGAGAUGCAGGUUCCACGCCCUGGAGAGCUGCAGCCAGCAAUACCAAAGCCGGAGCCUGGCUUUACUGUCUUGCUGCUUUUGUGGGGAGGCCCAGUGUCCAGUAA
rnacentral:lncRNA from 1 species